rnacentral:rRNA from 1 species
GCACACUUGACUGCGGAGUUCUGAUGGGAUCCGGUGCAUUAGUGCUGGUAUGAUCACACCC